rnacentral:rRNA from 1 species
GUGGGGAAUAUUGGACAAUGGGGGGAACCCUGAUCCAGCCAUGCCGCGUGUGUGAAGAAGGCCUUUUGGUUGUAAAGCACUUUAAGCGAGGAGGAGGCUACCGAGAUUAAUACUCUUGGAUAGUGGACGUUACUCGCAGAAUAAGCACCGGCUAACUCUGUGCCAGCAGCCGCGGUAAUACAGAGGGUGCAAGCGUUAAUCGGAUUUACUGGGCGUAAAGCGCGCGAAGGUGGCCAAUUAAGUCAAAUGUGAAAUCCCCGAGCGUAACUUGGGAAUUGCAUUCGAUACUGGUUGGCUAGAGUAUGGGAGAGGAUGGUAGAAAUCCAGGUGUAGCGGUGAAAUGCGUAGAGAUCUGGAGGAAUACCGAUGGCGAAGGCAGCCAUCUGGCCUAAUACUGACACUGAGGUGCGAAAGCAUGGGGAGCAAACAGGAUUAGAUACCCUGGUAGUCC